AUUUUCUUCGAGCUCCAUUUCCUCACAUUCGGGAGGAGAUGUUGAGGUCACAGGAACAUCUGGUUUGGGGGAGGACUUUGGUUCAGAGUUUUCUGUGGGUUCAGAUUCUGAGGUUGUCUUCUGGACCUACAAAAAACAGACCCUAGACCUGAACCUUGUCCUGAAGCUGAGCUGUUGUUAAUCAGCAGGGCAGCAGGGGGUGCCCUUAUCUGCAGCAGGAAACCUCACCGUCACCAAACUGGACUCAAAGAUCUGAACCCUGAGGGACCAGAAGGAGAUGGAGGCCAGAACUGAGCUGGUGAAGUCCUCUACCUGAUGGUCCUCCAGCAGGACCUCGUCAAUGUCUUGUUCUUCAAUCUGAUGGGGGUCCUCUACCUGCUCCUCCUGAAUUUGGACCAGGUCCUUCAGGAGAUCCUGAAUUCUACCAGACUCCUCGUCUCCAGAUUGAUCCCUGACUGGACCCUCUGGGCUGCUAUAGCUGAUAUCAGCCUGCAGGGGGUGUUCAAGCGUCCAUAAAACCCCAGGCCUGACUGUGUUCUGCACAAUUUCUUAAAACCUUAACCUCACGGGAACAAAUGAGCUACUAGAGAAUGUUGUGUUGUUAAUCUCAGGAGGAACUAAGACCAGGUUAGAGACCCACGCUGACGCUUAGGUCUUCAGAUUCUACAGCGAAAGCUGAACUUACCUUCAACGGGACUGAAGUGCAGAACAUUGACCACAGAAGACAAAAUAAAAAGAGAAAAAUAUAUUUUACA